UACGUAGGGGGCUAGCGUUGUCCGGAUUUAUUGGGCGUAAAGAGCGUGUAGGCGGCUAUGCAGGUCCGCUGUGAAAACUCGAGGCUCAACCUCGAGACGUCGGUGGAAACCGCAUGGCUAGAGUCCGGAAGAGGAGAGUGGAAUUCCCGGUGUAGCGGUGAAAUGCGCAGAUAUCGGGAAGAACACCCGUGGCGAAGGCGGCUCUCUGGGACGGUACUGACGCUGAGACGCGAAAGCGUGGGGAGCGAACAGG
rnacentral:rRNA from 1 species